rnacentral:rRNA from 1 species
GCUUGUCUCAAAGAUUAAGCCAUGCAUGUCUAAGUAUAGUACCUUAUACUGCGAAACUGCGAAUGGCUCAUUAAAUCAGUUAUAAUUCAUUUGAUGGUACUUACUACUCGGAUAACCGUAGUAAUUCUAGAGCUAAUACAUGCUAUCAAGCCCGACUUCUUGAAGGGUUGUAUUUAUUAGACUUAAGCCAAUAUUCCUUGUGUCUAUUGCGAUGAUUCAUAAUAACUGAUCGAAUCUCAAAUUUGAGAUAAAUCAUUCAAGUUUCUGCCCUAUCAGCUUUCGAUGGUAGUGUAUUGGACUACCAUGGCAGUAACGGGUAACGAAGAAUUAGGGUUCGAUUUCGGAGAGGGAGCAUGAGAAACGGCUACCACAUCUAAGGAAGGCAGCAGG